GUUUUCGUGGUGAAGUGGUCGACACACUCGACGCGUAACCGAGAGGUCCGCGGUUCGAUUCCGGGCAAAGGCG
rnacentral:tRNA from 1 species